rnacentral:hammerhead_ribozyme from 1 species
CUCCAGCUGACGAGUCCCAAAUAGGACGAAAUGCGCGUCCUGGAA